rnacentral:rRNA from 1 species
GAUACCCUAUUAUUGGAAACGUUAAUUUUUAGCUAUGAUUAUUAAUAGUUAUGUUCUUUAAAAUUAAAAAAUUUGGCGGUAUUUUAGUCUAUUCAGAGGAACCUGUUUUUUAAUCGAUAGUCCACGAUGAAAGUUACCUUUUCUUUAAAUUUGCAUAUCGUCGUUUAUAAAAAUUUUUGGAGGAUUAUAAUUUUUGUGAUUUUUAAUUUGAAAUUAAUUCAGAUCAAGGUGUAGUUUAUGAAAAGGUUAUAAUGGGUUACAUUAUAUUUAUAUGUGGUUCUAAGUUUUGAAAAUUUAGUUAAAUUGGAUUUGAUAGUAAAUUAUUUUUCUAUGAUUGUUGAUUUAGCUCUAAAAUAUGCACACAUCGCC